UCAAAACAUCGCCUCCUGCAAAAAUCAAUGUAUAGGAGGUCCUGCCUGCCCAGUGACAUCCAGUUAAACGGCCGCGGUAUUUUGACCGUGCUAAGGUAGCGCAAUCACUUGUCUUUUAAAUGAGGACCUGUAUGAAUGGCGGAACGAGGGCUUAACUGUCUCCUUUUUCCAGUCAAUGAAAUUGAUCUGCCCGUGCAGAAGCGGGCAUAACGAUACAAGACGAGAAGACCCUUUGGAGCUUAAGAUAAAAGGCCAACUAUGUCAAAGGUCCUAAUAAAACUCAAACCAAACAAACAGUUAACUGGCCACUAUCUUCGGUUGGGGCGACCACGGGGGAAAACAAAGCCCCCACGCAGAAUGGGGACCACACCCUAAAACCAAGAGGGACACCUCUAAGCCACAGAACAUCUGACCAAAAGAUCCGGCCAACAAGCCGAUCAACGGACCAAGUUACCCUAGGGAUAACAGCGCAAUCCCCUCCAAGAGUUCAUAUCGACAAGGGGGUUUACGACCUCGAUGUUGGAUCAGGACAUCCUAAUGGUGCAGCCGCUAUUAAGGGUUCGUUUGUUCAACGAUUAAAGUCCUACGUG
rnacentral:rRNA from 1 species